ncrna:Cellulophaga baltica 18 S15-Flavobacteria ribosomal protein leader
UAUAUUUGCACGCUGAUUGAAAAUCAAUCAUAUACAUAAAAAUCAUUAAAUAAUAUUGGAAUG